UACGUAGGGGGCUAGCGUUGUCCGGAUUUAUUGGGCGUAAAGAGCGUGUAGGCGGCCAGAUAGGUCUGCUGUGAAAACUCGAGGCUCAACCUCGAGAUGUCGGCGGAAACCAUUUGGCUAGAGUCCGGAAGAGGAAAGUGGAAUUCCUGGUGUAGCGGUGAAAUGCGCAGAUAUCAGGAGGAACACCGGUGGCGAAGGCGGCAUUCUGGACCAUUACUGACGCUGAGGAGCGAAAGCCAGGGGAGCAAACGGG
rnacentral:rRNA from 1 species